AUGCUGCAAUGGAGAGUGGGGCAUCGAGGACAUGAACCGCCGUCUAGGGUUCGCAAGACAGGCACGAAGGGUUUCCCGGCUUGUGGGGAUCGACGUGCGAGACGCGUCCAGCCCUUGCCGGCCAUGGCAGGUCGAGGGGAGGCUCCACCGCCAGCAAAGCGCUCCUCCUCAGGCGUUGCAGGUCGGGGUGGGGCGGCUCCCCCGCCGGCAGCGAACGCCGGACGGAGAGGUCUGGCGCAGAAUGGCCAAAGGCCGCUGGCGGGAGGUGUCGGCGCGGCUGUUGCCGCGGGACGAGGUGUGCCCCCCGGUGGUGCGCCGCCUCCGGGUCUGGCCCCUUCGCAGCCGGCUCUUGGGGAAGGAAGCUUGAAGCCGACGGCGCCGGCCUCGGUGCCCGCUACUAAUACUGCCGGGAGGGGGGUCGGGAGAGCACCAGUUGCGCCGCCCCUUGUUCCCCAGGCUGCGGGUAGAGGGGGACCUAGACCUCCCGCGCCAGGUACUUCUGGAGAUGGGCCGGCUGGCCGCGGCGCCGGACAUCGGCCUGUUGGAGGCGUAACGGCAACCACAGGGAAACCACCACCGCAUUAUGUUGCUAGGCCGGUGCAGAACCGGUCCACUCAGCCUCAGUCGAUCAAUAAAGAGCCUAAUGUUCCGCCCCGAGGCCAGUGGGGGGACGACGGGUAUGAUGCAUACGGUGAAGGACAGCACCGCGGCUCCUCGUCUACGGGAGGAGGGUAUGGUUACGCUUGGCAGAGCAACGGGUCGGCUGAGAGACCGUUUUGUGGGCCGGCCGGCGGUUUCGUUGAGGGGGCCUUCGGCCCGGAUCGCCGUCAGAGAGGAGGUCAUCGUGGCAACCGUGGUGGUCGGAGCUGGGGUCGUGGGAGAUUUCGCCGCCCACCACCACCUCGGGUGUCUGUUCCUACAGAUGCUACGGAGGAGACUCAGCUUUCCUCAGAGCUUCCUCCACAGGCGAUGGAGGUGGUGAAGGGGUUGGCCAAUGUUGAGGUUACUGAGGCUGGGACGGUGGAUGAGGCUGCCGAGAGGUCUGAUGCAGAGAGGGCGUCCAAGUAUGCCCGUAAGAAGGAGAGGAUGAUUUGCUAUCGUUGUGGCGAGAAGGGCCACUUCAUUGCUAAGUGUGUGGCCCAGCUGUGUGAGUCAUGUGGCAAGCUUGCACAUGAGUCGGGAGAGUGCCCGAUUUUGCGUGACUUACCUCCGACUCUGAACAUCUAUGGAGUCUACUGUGCUGAGCUCAUGUUUUUCGAGUCCCCGGCGGCGAGAGAGGUCCCGGAGGAUAACCAGAGUUCGACUACUUGGAUUGUGAGAGCGACCCAGGGCGAGGUGACUGAGGCACAGAUUGUGAGGAGGUUGCAGGAGUUAGCUCCCGGUGAUUUUGUUUGGGAGUUGGUGCUCAUAGAAGACAGAGUUUUUAAGGUUGAUUUCCCGUCUGUUGAUGACUUGCAGAGAUUGUUGAGUUUUGGCUUGUGUAAAGUUCCCGGUACUAAGUGUAUUCUGGAGUUUAACGAGUGGAAACAGGUCGAGCCUAAAGGAAAACCGCUUACACAGGUAUGGCUGCGGUUUUUGGGGGCUCCAUCUAAGCCUCUGCAGGAUGCUCGCGUGGUGGCCAGUUUGGGCAUCAUGGUUGGAAAGACAGAAAAAGUGGACAUGGCGUUCACUCGUGCCAAUGGGAUUGCCCGGAUUCUUGUCAGCAUUCUGGAUAUUGAGUAUGUGCCUGAUAAGGUCAACUGGACUUAUAAGGGCGAGGUGUUCCCGCUAGAUAUUGAGUUCGAGGACACCGACUUAUUUGAUGAUGCGGUUAACGGCAAUGAUGUUGACAUGCACGACCGGGAGGGUGGUGCGGGGACUAAGGGGGCACUGUCAGAUGAGACCAUGCGAGAGGGAUCCAACGUUUCUCACGCUCAGUCGGCCGGGAAUGGAUUGGAGGCUCAGCCCACAGCCUCACAGGCGGUACCCAUGACUACUCUACGUUUUGGGUCUUUCGAGCCAGCCUCGGCACCUCCCAGGCUUUGGAGUGACAGGGUGGAGUCGAGUGAUGAUCUUGAGCGCACGCUUCCUUCACUGGAGUUAGAGAUGGAGACUGGUGUGUCUGUUGCUCGUCAGGCGAGUUCUUUGGGAGGCGUUGCGGCGUGGUGGCACGGUGAUGGUUCUCUUGGACUGCAGACUCCCGCGGGCGCGACUUCGGUGUCGGCGAUCGCGGGGGCGAUGGGGUGUGGGGGAGGGGGUUCGGGACAUGGAGUCCUCUCCCUCCCCGUCCUGAGGCCGAUGCAGGUGUCAUCGGUGGCGUCGGCCCCGAGGGGGUCGGCUCCGGCUGCUGGAGGGACCUCGAGGCAGGCGGCCUCGACUCCUUCGGCGAUGGUGGUGGCAACCACUGUGGCUGCUGCUGCGGGAGGGGGGACGCCAGGGCAGGAGGCCCGGUCUCCACCCUCUACUCCGAUGGUCAGGAGGACCAUCUCACCGAUGCCUUUCCCGUCCGAGCUGCCGGUUGGGGCGGGAGCAGACCGCGGGCAGGAGGCCCUGUCUUAUGCUCCUCCCCACUGCCUGAUGUGGGGCACUCGUCCAAGGGGAUCGGGAGCCCGCAGACGCCUUCUCUAG
rnacentral:rRNA from 1 species